AGAUUGACGUCUGCUCUGUCUGAAAUACAUUGGCUCCAUGGUCAAUGGUUGAUUGUCCACGCAACAAAUGUGCCCAUGAUGAUCGCUCACUGCACGGUCGACAUCACUGUACACGUGACCAAGAGCCAAGGACCACGCAUUGUUCUGAGCAGUUUUCGAGGGCAGCAGACGUUAAUUAACCAUGCACGGUCAACAAGAACAGGUUCCCGCCUGGAAAUUUGCCUUCGUUUGAAAUCCUGGUAAAACUCAAAAGAAGAAAUCCCUUAUUAUUUUCCCACCUGUGCUGAAACCAACAAUGACGGGACAAAGCUGGAAAAUCUGAUUUGAAAUCCCCCAUUAAGGGUAGACAAUACCAAUGGCAAUGCAACUCGGGCCUUCAAUUCUACCGAAGAAAGCUGGACAUCAGAACCUAUUCACCAUAAUAGAAGUUAUAGUUCAUGACCCUCCAAACGCAACUGCUUGUAUUAGAAUUCUUCGAGACAUUAAGAUGCUUAAUUGCGUGCCUUUGAAUUCGGGAAAAAUUACAGACUUGAAGAAGAGAAAUUCUUGCUACUUAUAAAAUUUGUACGCAUAGACAUUCUUGCUUGUAUUAAACGAUUGACAAUGGAACUUAUCCAUCGUUGGUCUAAAAGAGUGCAAUCUAUCUAAUGUUGAAAGUUUGUUUAAGACUUACAUGUAUUUACAUAUUUGAGAUUCUAUGAAUAAAGUUCUUUAGUUUGU